rnacentral:tRNA from 1 species
GGCCCGUGUAGGUUAACUAAACCCUUAGUCUGUGACACUAAAAAUGAUGAUUAGACCUCGUCCACGGGCC